rnacentral:rRNA from 1 species
CAAUAGCGUAUAUUAAGGUUGUUGCAGUUAAAAAGCUCGUAGUUGGAUUUCUGGUUGAAGCGACCGGUCGGGCGUUGAUUCGUCUGCACUGGAGUCGGUUUUGGCCAUCCUCUAGGAAAGUGCGUCUGGUAUUAAGUUAUCGGGCGUAUGAUCCUGGUCUUUUACUGUGAAAAAAUUAGAGUGUUUAAAGCAGGCCUUCGCCUUGAAUACAUUAGCAUGGAAUAAUAAGAUAGGACUUUGGUCUAUUUUGUUGGUUUGCAGACCGAAGUAAUGAUUAAUAGGGAUAGUUGGGGGUAUUUAUAUUCCGAUGUCAGAGGUGAAAUUCUUAGAUUUUCGGAAGAUAAACUUAUGCGAAAGCAUUUACCAAGGAUGUUUUCAUUAA